rnacentral:lncRNA from 1 species
AGGCAUUAGGAAGAAGAGGAGAUGGAGAAGAGAAUUUGGGAGCCAAUAAAGACAAGGAACAAUCACCCCAUGUCUGUUUCUUAGGGAAUGAUAUAUUGGUUGUCGGAGAAGUACAAGUAGAUGAACAAACCCCUUUGAGGUUGUGCAAUGCACAUUGGCAGUUACGAUGGUACGGCCUCCGUUCGGUCAGACAGUCUUGCAUUGAAAUGCUUCCUUCGAAGACGCAUCGGAACAUCAAC